CUCCCACCAUGGUUACAGCAAUAAGACUCAGGAAGGUUCUUGCUGCUUCCUAAUAGUCUGCUCAGCUUCUAAAUUAUCUAAUGACUUCAUCACCAAGGUUUGGAGUUUUCCUCAGCCACUGCCUUGUUUCAACAUGUUGAUUGGUGUUGCUGUCAACUUUGGUCAAGGAAGCUUCUUUUUGCAUAAGGGUUAAGUGCUAAGUAUAAGUAACCCCGAGUGCUCAGCUGUGGAUGGGUCAUCUGUAUCAACCUCCCCCGACCCUUACCCAAGACUCUGGGAACAUGGAGGAAGAGUGCAAACUGGUAGACGAGGAGAUAUGUGAAAGGCUGACUUCUGGACUCACCAUGCACGUUGCACACAUCAGCUCACAUCAGUUGUGGUUAACUGAACGAGAUCAAGUCAGAGGUGAGAUGUGCUCCAGAAUGUGGUUGAGGGGAAGAUCUGCUUUUGAAGGAGCUGUGGUCACCAAUUCAACAACAGCAACAGAACAGCUUCUCAGGCACCGGCCGUUCAUUCUCCUCUCCAGGAACCGUGUGCUGAGGACCAACUGUGGGGCACACUGUUCCAGGGAGUUCAGAGAGACACUGAAAUCACUGUCUUCUUAAACAUAGCAGACUAGGUCAUGAGAAGAAGAGAUUCAAAGCAAGUAUCAUCUGGAGAGCAAAGAAUGGAGUCUGAAUGCAGAAACGGCCAGUUCACAGCUAAGAGACCUGAGCACUCUGUGUACGAAGUGUGUGUAAAGGGUGCGUCUAGACAACACACAGUCUCUGGGAAGACAUAAGGGGGAAACAGAGGCAGCAGCCACAGAGAAAAUAAAGACUCCAGAGCACCUUCCACUACCAUGACAUCUAGGCAGCAGGGAGCAGACUUCCUGGUCAGUACCAACUUGAUUUCUCCGUGUCACGUGACAAAUGUCUAUGAUGUCUUCAGCAAUAAGGUCUUAGUACCAAGUUCUUGCGACCAAUCGAGCAAUGGCAUUAACCUCUAUUGUUUUGUGGGUGUCCUCCAGUACACCCCUGACCAACAACUGCAGAGGGGUACCCACACCUGGGUCUGGUACUUUUAUAUAAUAUAAAAAUAGAUCAUGUAAUUCCGUGUGUGUGCUCACGUGCAUGCAUGUGUAAAGCUUAUAAAAUGGUGUUUUAUAAUCUCCAACAUUAGUUAUCCUCUCCCCAACUUAAGCCUCUCUCACAGUUUUAUCAAUCUUCACUUGCAUACUUUGAGGAUAUAUAUUAAAUACACCCAAGUUCAGAACUAGUCUACUUCCUGAAUCUUCAGAGAGUUUGACAUAAAUACCAUCCACAGCUUGAGGUCCCCUUUUCGGUGGUCUUCAAGUCCACUUCUCUCAACACCACUUUCCAAGCUCCUAUUGGCCAAAGAUUGUGGGGACUUUCGUUUCAAUCAUUUCAUUUUAACUUGUCAAUAUCUCUGUGCUGGACAGGUAGGUCCUCCUAAGUUGGGCAUUUUAAAAAAUCCAAUCUUUAGAAUAACAUACUUAGUUCCCACUACUGAUAUACUUGGAUUGAUUUCUGCCAUGUUAUCUGUUUUUUGUCUUGCUUUAUUAAACAUCUUAUUUUUAAUGUGUUUAUUUUCUGUGUAUGCAUAUUUUGCCUACAUGCAUGUAUGUAUAUGUACCAUGUGUGUGUCUGGUACACAAGAAAGCCAGGAGAGUGGGUCAGAUCUCCUGGAACUGGAAUUACAGAUGAUUGUAAACCACUGUAUGGAUGCUGGGAACCAACCCUGGUCCUCUGCAAGAGCAGCCAGUGCUCUUAACUGGUGAGUCAUCUCUCCAGCCCCACGUCUUUUUAUUUUUAACUUUUUCAAGUUUAGCUAUUUUUCUCUUUCCACUACUACUUUGGAUUUUACACACUUUAUUUCUGUUUCUUUCAGAAAUCAUCCUCGCAAAGUGAACCUGCAUUGUUACUUUUCUGAA